GACGAACGCUGGCGGCGUGCCUAAUACAUGCAAGUCGAACGCAGUGGGGACGGGUGAGUAACACGUGGGUAACCUCCCAUCAGAGGGGAAAACACUUGGAAACUGGUGCUAAACCGAUACUGAUGGAUGGACCCGUGGUGCAUGAGCUAGUUGGGGAGGAAACGGCUCACCAAGGCCACGAUGCAUAGUCGCCAUGAGAGGGGGACAGGCCAAACUGGGACUGAGAAACGGCCCAGACGCCUACGGGAGGCAGCAGUGGGGAAGCUUGGCCAAUGGACGAAAGUCUGACCGAGCAACGCCGCGUGAGUGAAGAAGGUUUUCGGAUUGUAAAACUCUGUUGUUAGGGAAGCGGUAUCUAACCAGAAAGCAACGGCUAACUACGUGCCAGCAGCCGCGGUAAUAC
rnacentral:rRNA from 1 species